UACGGAGGAAGCAAGCGUGGUUCGGAAUUACUGGGCGUAAAGCGCGUGCAGGCGGCCGAUUAAGUCCGGUGUGAAAGCCCGGGGCUCACCCCCGGAAGUGCGCUGGAAACUGAUCGGCUAGUGUACGGGAGAGGGAAGCGGAAUUCUUGGUGUAGCGGUGAAAUGCGUAGAUAUCAGGAGGAACACCGGCGGCGAAGGCGGCUUCCUGGAGCGAUACUGACGCUGAGACGAGAAAGCGUUGGGAGCAAACAGG
rnacentral:rRNA from 1 species